rnacentral:rRNA from 1 species
GACGAACGCUGGCGGCGUGCCUAAUACAUGCAAGUUGAGCGCUGAAGGUUGGUACUUGUACCAACUGGAUGAGCAGCGAACGGGUGAGUAACGCGUGGGGAAUCUGCCUUUGAGCGGGGGACAACAUUUGGAAACGAAUGCUAAUACCGCAUAAAAACUUUAAACACAAGUUUUAAGUUUGAAAGAUGCAAUUGCAUCACUCAAAGAUGAUCCCGCGUUGUAUUAGCUAGUUGGUGAGGUAAAGGCUCACCAAGGCGAUGAUACAUAGCCGACCUGAGAGGGUGAUCGGCCACAUUGGGACUGAGACACGGCCCAAACUCCUACGGGAGGCAGCAGUAGGGAAUCUUCGGCAAUGGACGAAAGUCUGACCGAGCAACGCCGCGUGAGUGAAGAAGGUUUUCGGAUCGUAAAAAUCUGUUGGUAGAGAAGAACGUUGGUGAGAGUGGAAAGCUCAUCAAGUGACGGUAACUACCCAGAAAGGGACGGCUAACUACGUG